ACAAUAACAAUCUUUACAAACAGUUUCAAUCAGGAUUCCGCACCCACCACAGCACUAAAACUGCCCUCAUCAAAGUCACCAACGACCUCCUCAUUUCUGCUGACUCCGGCCAACUCUCCAUCCUCAUCCUCCUUGACCUCUCUGCUGCUUUCGACACCAUCAAUCACGCCAUCCUCUUGUCCUGCCUACACUCCCUCCUCAAUAUCACAGACACCGCUCUUAACUGGAUCCACUCAUAUCUCACAGACCGGAAUCACUUCAUCCAUAUCAACAACUGCUCCUCCACAACUGCCCGUGUCCCAAGGUGUCCCCCAGGGCUCGGUGCUUGGUCCCCUCCUCUUCAUUAUCUACCUCCUCCCUCUUGGCCACAUCCUCCGUCAACACAAUCUUCACUUCCACUGCUAUGCUGAUGAUAUUCAAUUAUACAUCUCUUCCACCUCCAUCACCCCCCAGACCCACCGCUCCCUCUCAAACUGCCUCUCUGAUGUCAAACACUGGAUGGACAGCAACCUUCUCAAGCUCAACUAUGACAAAACAGAUCUCCUCAUCAUUGGCCCAAACUCCCUCACCUCCACAGUCACAGACUUUCAUCUCUGAAUUGACAACUCCACCCUCUCCCCCUCCUCCCACUAUCGCAACCUUGGUAUUCUCUUCGACAGCAAACUCUCCUUCAAUCAGCACGUAAAGCAAAUCACCAAAACAGCCUACUACCACCUCAAAAACAUUGCCCGCCUACGCCCCUCCCUCUCCUACCCCGCAGCUGAAACCCUCAUACAUGCAUUCAUUUCAUCCCGUCUAGAUUAUUGUAACAGUCUCCUCCAUGACACUACCUCCACUCUCCUCAAUAAACUUCAGCUCAUCCAGAACUCUGCCGCCCGCCUCCUCACCCCCACACGCUCCCACCAACACAUCACCCCCGUCCUCCAGAACCUUCACUGGCUCCCCAUCCCCCAACGCAUUCAGUACAAAAUCCUCCUUCUCACC